AUUUGUUUGCUUCCGUUAAUGGGUUAUGUAUUUCUUGAUAUUGGCGGAUCCAAACAAUUUUGAUUCAGAGGUGGGAAUUCGGUGCUUUUUUUUGAAGAGGUAAAGAUUAAUCCCGCUGUUUAUCAGUUCUAUGCUUUUGAUCAUUCAAUUCAGCAGUUCUUUUUACAUAUUUUUGAUAGAAUUUUGAUGGGUUUUUGCCAACUUUAAUGAUGGAGGCUAGUUUUUGCUAGGACUGAGAAUUCAAUAAAGCCGAAUUCCCUCUCAUGAGCUUCCAGUUAGGUAGAAUAUUUAUAAGUUAGGAGGAGUAUUUUGGUAGAGAUGAUAAGGUUUGAGAAUGGUAGUAUGGAACCGCUAUGCGAUUUUUGUCGAGGGGUAAGAGCGGUAGUUUACUGCAAAUCAGAUUCAGCUCGGCUUUGCUUGAGCUGUGAUGGAUGUGUUCACUCUGCAAAUUUGUUGUCACGUAGACAUGCUCGUUCACUUUUGUGUGAGAAAUGCAAUUCUCAGUCUGCAAUAGUUCGAUGCUUGGAUGAGAAAUUAUCUCUUUGUCAAAAUUGUGAUUGGAAUGGCAAUGGUUGCUCAUGUUUGGGACAUAGGCGUGAGGUAUUGAAUUGUUAUACUGGUUGUCCUUCUUUGGCUGAGUUUAGAAGAAUCUGGUCUUCGGUUCUUGAUGCUUCUUCUCCUGGUGGUUUUCAUGAUGGUUUGCCGUUUGGUGCUUUGCCUGAUAAUGACAAUUGUUUUGCUAACUGUUUGAAUGAAAGAGAACAAGGGGGCUCAUUGGGAUUGGAUGGUACCAAGUUGAACGAACUAGACCCUUGUCCUAAGCGAAAUCCGUGGAUGGAACCAUCUUCUCUGAUAUCAACAAAUGCAAAUUACAUACCUUACUGUAGAGAUCAAGAACCUCUUUUCUCGGAGGAGUCGAAUAUGCCAAAGGGUUAUUCUGACCUCAAAGAUUUCAAAGUUCCUGAUGGUGAUGAUCUCUGUCUAGGCCUCAACAUGAAUGAUGUUCAAUUAACGUUUGAAACUGCUGAUGAGAUAUUUGGCUGUUCCCAAGGUCAAACUAGAUACCAGUUUGAGAAUGUAGGGACAGACUGCAUUCCAAUGGAGAAAACCUUAUCAGUAACUGAAUCUGAUGGUCCUAUUGAGAACACAUUUGAGGCAUCAUCAUCAGGACAAAAGGACUGCAUGGCAUUUCCAUCCUCUCAAGUUGGUGGCUCAACUAGUAUGAUGGCUGCCAUGACUGGCACUCCCAAUUGCAUGCUUAUGAAUCCUGGUUGUAGCAGAAACAUUAACCUAGGAUAUCCUGUUGGUCAAAUUCGUUCAACCAUAGCUCUUUCACUAUCCAACAUUACAGGGGAAAAUAGUGCUACCGAUUAUCAAGAAUGUGGAUUGUCACCAGUUUUUUUAACUGGUGAAUCCCCAUGGGAAUCAAAUUUGGAAGGUAGCUGCCCACAAGCAAGGGACAAAGCAAAGAUGAGAUACAAUGAAAAAAAGAAAACACGGACAUUUGGUAAGCAAAUAAGAUAUGCCUCCCGUAAAGCCAGGGCUGACACUAGGAAACGUGUGAAAGGCAGAUUUGUGAAAGCAGGUGAAGCAUAUGAUUAUGAUCCCCUGGUUCCACAGAACUUCUAAGCCAGAUUAAAAAUCAUGUCCCUGAUCCUGAAGGUUUAGUUAGUCUUUCUUGAUUACAGAGAGGGGCAGUAAACCAUAGAUUCCAACUUAACGCUGCUAUAAGUUCUCUCAACUCUCUCUUGCUCUUCCUGUGUGAGUGCAUGUGUUUUUGCUCGCAUUUGUUAUGACGAUUAUUUGGAUUCAUUAAAUAAGCCUGUUUCAUAUGUAUAAUGGCAGAUAUAUUGUGCUGGCUACCUCAAGUUAUUUGAGUUAUGGACACUUGAGCUAACUGAUCUCAUCUCUGUAGAUCUAUGAACUGCCUCAAUUGUACUUGUGUUGUAGUUGCUUAUGAUUGGCCGGAAAUUAUAAAGGAUACACACAACAAGAUGUUCAACCGGCUGUGAAGAACCUUGAAGUGACAAUCUUUGGUGCAUUUUCUUUUGCCUUUCCUGAUUACUUGGACUUUCCUCUUGUUUUUGUCACCAUCUCCAUCUCCGAUGCACAAGGCAAGACCAUUGUUGCAAGUCAACUUUGGUUAUAUUAUUUUGUAUAGUGCACCAGCUCAGGUCCAUGGAAUAAGCAUUGAUCCAUAGUCAUCAAACUGAAAUAAGGAUUAGCACUCUGUCAGAAUAAUAAAUCACCAUUUAUCCUUUCAAUUUCUUUCAUAUUUUCAGUACUGUAUAUUCAUAUUGUGUAUGAUUCUUUUAGCUGCAGUAAAUGAACUAUCAAGAAUGAAAUAUGGAGAUUGCUUGAAGUAGCUGAGUCAUUAAAGUUGUUCCUCUCCUUAAAGCACAAGAAGGUAAGAAAAGAAGGAACAGGUAACGUACCAUGUAUAUGAAGGAAGCAAAUUAUGGUCCAAUGAUGAUAUAAAACACAGUGAAGUUGUGCAAAAAAUAUAAAAAAAAUGCGACCACAUGCUGGCAAAAAUGUACCAUUAUUUUUUUGAAACCUCCCUAAAAUUUGUACUUUAUAUCACAGGAUGUUAUACAAGCUGGUUUACUGGCUGGCUUUGGCUAACAGGAUUGAUAUAAAAAGAAAGCAGAAGUUCUUACCUGAAAUAGGAAGAGAAUGUGGUAGUUUCAGAAGAGAGUGAAAUGUUGAAAGCGGAGUUUUGUUUAGUUACUUCACACAAUAAUCCUUAAAAGGCGGCAUCAAGCAAGUUAAAAUUUAAAUUCUAACGCUUAUAACUCGUUUUUCUGUUCUUAAAUUGCGACUGCCUUGGUUUGAAUCUUUCUCAUCAUUUGUUCUGGAUGGCUUAUCUAAAAUACACGAGAGAAGUGAUGACAAAGAUUGAUAAACAGGAAAUACAAGUUGGCCGGCUUAAAUAGUCUACGUGUGAUGGCGAGAAGGACAUGGUCUGUUUAAGAAACUAUGAUCAGAAAUUCGAUAGCUGAAGAUAGAAAAGUUAAAAUGAACUGGCGGUUAUCUUCUAUAUCCUGAGUCUGUUUGUAAGAAAAUUUGUGAUAAUCAUGGUUCUUAUCAAUAACAUCAAUAAUUGAUAUUUUCGUAUGAUGUUAAGAUAC